rnacentral:rRNA from 1 species
AGCGAACGCUGGCGGCAGGCCUAACACAUGCAAGUCGAACGGACCCUUCGGGGUUAGUGGCGGACGGGUGAGUAACACGUGGGAACGUGCCUUUAGGUUCGGAAUAGCUCCUGGAAACGGGUGGUAAUGCCGAAUGUGCCCUUCGGGGGAAAGAUUUAUCGCCUUUAGAGCGGCCCGCGUCUGAUUAGCUAGUUGGUGAGGUAACGGCUCACCAAGGCGACGAUCAGUAGCUGGUCUGAGAGGAUGACCAGCCACACUGGGACUGAGACACGGCCCAGACUCCUACGGGAGGCAGCAGUGGGGAAUCUUGCGCAAUGGGCGAAAGCCUGACGCAGCCAUGCCGCGUGAAUGAUGAAGGUCUUAGGAUUGUAAAUUCUUUACACCGGGGACGAUAAUGACGUACCCGGAGAAGAAGCCC